CCUGGCCUCAAGUGAUCUGCCCAUCUUGGCCUCCCGAAGUGCUAAGAUUCCAGGUAUGAGCCACGGCGACUGGCCCACCUGUCUAAUUUUUAAAUUUUUUUAAGACGCUGGGUCUCACUAUGUUGUUCAGGCUGGUCUUUAACUCCUAGGCUCAAGCGAUCCUCCCACCUUGGCCUCACAAAGUGCUGGGAUUACAGGUACGAGCCCCUGCACCUGGCCACAACCUAUUAAUAGUAAUAAUAAUAAUAACAACAUGUCCCCCUGUCCUUCUCUGGCCUCACUGAGUAGUCCCAGGCUUUCCCCACAUGCCUCUCAGGACUUAGUUUCCCCAUCUCGAUGCUCUCUCAGUCCCCUCUCUUGCUGGGUGUCCCAGUGGCCAGGAUGGUGGGUGGCACCGCUAUCUUCCCGGCCUAUUUGCUCUCCCUCUUCCGGGGCUGCUACCCUGGCCAAGGCCCUUGAAUAAAAGGCAAGGGCACCUGUGUCCUGCUUCCUUCUCUCCUGCCUGGAUCAUGCUCUGGCUCUCUCUGCCCUGUUGCUCCUGGGAGCACUGGCUGCCCCAGCAGGUAAGCGCGUCAUGGUCCAUCAGAAAGGGAGAGGGUCGGCUCAAGGUCACAUGUGGUGUUGGGAGUCUGGCUUCAGAGUCUGGGCCCCAGGUCCUUCCAACUGGGCUCAUUGUCUAGCAGGCAGAAGAACAGGGCAGCUGAGAACCUAGUUCUGGAACCAGGCUGCCUGGGUUCAAAUCCUGACUCUGUCACUUCUUAGCCGUGUGACUCCAGACAAACCACAUAACCUCUCUGUGCCUCAUUUUUUCCAUGUGUGAAGUGGUGACAAUGCCCCUGCCUCAGACAGUUGUUGAGACAUUGGUUGAAUCCACACGUUUGAGGAGCUCAGAACAGUGCCAGCCUGGCAGUGGCUCUGUUUGAGGGUGAGCUCUGCUGGAUUAUCCAGGAGCAGUUACUGUUACUCUUUUACCUCACCUGCCUGUCUCCCCUUUGGCUCUAAUUCUGCCACCUUUGCCUGAGUUGGGAAUUAAGUGGUUUGGAUCCUAGCCAGGACCUCACUGUGCGAUCUUGAAUUGAAACCCUAAACCCAGCAGCUCCCACUUAGAGAUUCUGUGAUUCUCAUCUCCAAACCUUUGUCUGCGUUGUUUCAUCGACUUGGAAUGCCAUUCGCACUCCUCACAACAAAGAAGGUUGCUGAUCUCCCAAUGGCCCUCCCACCUCAGCCCUUAGUCCUAUUCUUUUUUUUUUUUUUUUUUUUUGAGACAGGAUCUCACUCUGUUGCCCAGGCUGGAGUGCAGUCGUGCAAUCUUAGCUCACUGCAGCCUGAACUUUUGGGCUCAAGUCAUCCUCAGCUUCCUAAAUAGCUGGGAUUACAGGCAUGAGCCACCAUGCCUGAUUAGUCCUAUUCUUGAAUCGUGUGUGUGUGUGUGUGUGUGUGUGUGUGUGUGUGUUCUUUGUCCUUCUCAAACUGCAGAGUCUGAUCACUGUUUUCUUCCUUGCAGGAAGCUCUAAGACAUGUCCAGCCUGCUCUUUGCUGUGAACCUGCAUUGAAAUAACUUGUCCUUCUGCCCAGGACUUCUGCUUGUUUAGCCAGAUGCAGCUGGAAAAUGGGACUCUCAUUGAGAAGGGGUCAUGUGUGGCCCCUGGAGAAUGCUAAGAAGGUGUCUACGCCCUGACCUACAGCCCCCAUGCAAGCCUCUGGGUCAGCACAGCCUCUUGUGAAAACAACUGCAGCCACCUUCCCCAGUAAGGUUUGUUGGGAGGACCUCAGGCUCACACACCAGGGUAGGGUGUCAUGGGGACCCAGCCUCAAUUUCCUGCCUCACAGCUUUUUGUCUGGCUGAUUGGGGCAAGAAGGAGACUCUCAGUUUUCUCAUCUGGAAAAUGGGUGUGAUGUAGGUUUUAAAGGGUGUUCAUCCCCUAGGCUGGCACGUGGUAGACACUCCUUUUGUUGCCAUGUUUAUUUGAAUACUGGGAGGCUAAAGAGAACUCCAAGCUCUUUUCUGUUUCUCUGUCUCUCUCUCUCUCUCUCUCUCUUUUUGAGACAGAGUCUCACUCUGUUGCCCAGGCUGGAGUACAAUGGCGCAAUCUUGGCCUACUGCAACCUCCACCUCCUGGUUCAAACGAUUCUCGUGGCUCAGCCUCACGAGUAGCUGGGAUUACAGAUGUACACAACCACGUCCGGCUAAUUUUUGUAUUUUUAGUAGAGUCAGGGUUUCGCCAUGCUGGCCAGUCUGGUCUCAAACUCUUGACCUUCAGUGACCUGCCCGCCUGGGCCUCUCAAAGUGCUGGGAUUACAGGCAUGAAUCUCUGUGCCCCGCCUCUCUUUUUGUCUUUAAUAGAGGGGCUCCCCUUGAAGGCUAGUCAAACAGAACAAGAAACCUCACAAGUGGUGAUAGGCCCAGGUCUAGGGGAGCCCAGCCAGGAGCCCAGGAUGCAAAAAUGUUUAUUCUUUAUUUUUUAUUUUUAUUUUUUUU
rnacentral:lncRNA from 10 species